rnacentral:rRNA from 1 species
GUCCACGCUGUAAACGAUGAGGACUAGAUGUUGGUAGGGGAACCUAUCAGUAUCGAAGCAAACGCGAUAAGUCCUCCGCCUGGGAAGUACGGCCGCAAGGUUGAAAACUCAAAAGGAAUUGACGGGGGCCCGCACAAGCGGUGGAGCAUGUGGUUUAAUUCGAUGCAACGCGAAGAACCUUACCUACCCUUGACAUCCUGCGAAAUCUAGCUGAGAGGCUGGAGUGCCGAAAGGAACGCAGAGACAGGUGCUGCAUGGCUGUCGU